AGAACAGAAGCAGACAUUUCCUUGUCUGAAGGUGUUGGGAUUGAAUGAUCCUGAAAUUCAUUUAUGGAGCUCUUUGAAUUUGUAGAAACAUCAUCAUACUCUGAGCCAGGGGAACCUUGACAAAAGUUCUCAGUUUCAAUUUCUGAUAUUGAGGCCAGAGAACUAUGAGUGGGAACCUCAACAUCAUUUAGUCCAUCAACACAAGAGUUCAACAUGGUAUGUUCCAU
rnacentral:misc_RNA from 1 species